UAGACCGUCGUGAGACAGGUCGGCUGCUAUCUAUUGGGUGUGUAAUGGUGUCUGACGGGAACGAUCGUAUAGUACGAGAGGAACUACGAUUGGCCGCCACUGGUGUACCGGUCGUUCGAGAGAGCGCUGCCGGGUAGCCACGCGGCACGGGGUAAGAGCUGAACGCAUCUAAGCUCGAAACCCACCUGGAAAAGAGACACCGCUGAAGGCCCCUGUAGAAGACAGGGUAGAUAGACUCGGGGUGUACGCACUGAGGUAACGAAGUGUUGAGCCCACGAGAACUAACAGUCUGAAGCCAUCAUUCA
rnacentral:rRNA from 1 species